GGGGAAUAUUGCGCAAUGGGGGAAACCCUGACGCAGCAAUACCGCGUGAGUGAAGAAGGUUUUCGGAUCGUAAAGCUCUGUUAUUGGGGAAGAAAAAAAGACGGUACCCAAGAAGAAAGUCCCGGCUAACUACGUGCCAGCAGCCGCGGUAAUACGUAGGGGACAAGCGUUGUCCGGAUUUACUGGGCGUAAAGGGCACGCAGGCGGUUUUUUAAGUCAGAUGUGAAAGGUACCGGCUCAACCGGUGACAUGCAUUUGAAACUGAAAGACUUGAGUGCAGUAAAGGUGGGCGGAAUUCGUGGUGUAGCGGUGAAAUGCUUAGAUAUCACGAAGAACUCCAAUUGCGAAGGCAGCUCACUGGAGUGUAACUGACGCUGAUGCUCGAAAGUGUGGGUAUCAAACA
rnacentral:rRNA from 1 species